rnacentral:lncRNA from 1 species
AAGUUAAGAGACGGGUUCUUAUAUUCAGCUUAGAACUCCACCCUAAGAACCUCAAAAAUAAUCAUCCUCUUAUUUAAACAAUAUACGUACAUAGCCUAGCAUACAAUCACCUUUUCACCAAACCACUCAUAUCACUGCAUUUAUCGUAUUACCUCAUCCCAUUUCAAUCACUCUCGUACCAACCACUCUCGUUGCAUUCAUCGUAUUACCUUCUCCCAUUUCAGU